rnacentral:rRNA from 1 species
GACGAACGCUGGCGGCGUGCUUAACACAUGCAAGUCGAACGGAAAGGCCCUGCUUUUGUGGGGUGCUCGAGUGGCGAACGGGUGAGUAACACGUGAGUAACCUGCCCUUGACUUUGGGAUAACUUCAGGAAACUGGGGCUAAUACCGGAUAGGAGCUCCUGCUGCAUGGUGGGGGUUGGAAAGUUUCGGCGGUUGGGGAUGGACUCGCGGCUUAUCAGCUUGUUGGUGGGGUAGUGGCUUACCAAGGCUUUGACGGGUAGCCGGCCUGAGAGGGUGACCGGACACAUUGGGACUGAGAUACGGCCCAGACUCCAACGGGAGGCAGCAGUGGGGAAUAUUGCACAAUGGGCGGAAGCCUGAUGCAGCAACGCCGCGUGCGGGAUGAAGGCCUUCGGGUUGUAAACCGCUUUCGCCUGUGACGAAGCGUGAGUGACGGUAAUGGGUAAAGAAGCACCGGCUAACUACGUG